rnacentral:rRNA from 1 species
AUUGAACGCUGGCGGCAGGCCUAACACAUGCAAGUCGAACGGUAACAGAAAGCAGCUUGCUGCUUUGCUGACGAGUGGCGGACGGGUGAGUAAUGUCUGGGAAACUGCCUGAUGGAGGGGGAUAACUACUGGAAACGGUAGCUAAUACCGCAUAACGUCGCAAGACCAAAGAGGGGGACCUUCGGGCCUCUUGCCAUCGGAUGUGCCCAGAUGGGAUUGGCUUGUUGGUGGGGUAACGGCUCACCAAGGCGACGAUCCCUAGCUGGUCUGAGAGGAUGACCAGCCACACUGGAACUGAGACACGGUCCAGACUCCUACGGGAGGCAGCAGUCGGGAAUAUUGCACAAUGGGCGCAAGCCUGAUGCAGCCAUGCCGCGUGUAUGAAGAAGGCCUUCGGGUUGUAAAGUACUUUCAGCGGGGAGGAAGGGAGUAAAGUUAAUACCUUGGCUCAUUGACGUUACCCGCAGAAGAAGCACCGGCUAACUCCGUG